rnacentral:rRNA from 1 species
ACGAACGCUGGCGGCGUGCUUAACACAUGCAAGUCGAACGGAAAGGCUCCAGCUUGCUGGCGUACUCGAGUGGCGAACGGGUGAGUAACACGUGGGUAAUCUGCCCUGCACUCUGGGAUAAGCCUGGGAAACUGGGUCUAAUACUGGAUAUGACCUUUCUCCUUAUGGGGUUUGGUGGAAAGUUUUUCGGUGUAGGAUGAGCCCGCGGCCUAUCAGCUUGUUGGUGGGGUGAUGGCCUACCAAGGCGACGACGGGUAGCCGGCCUGAGAGGGUGAUCGGCCACAUUGGGACUGAGAUACGGCCCAGACUCCUACGGGAGGCAGCAGUGGGGAAUAUUGCACAAUGGGCGGAAGCCUGAUGCAGCGACGCCGCGUGAGGGAUGACGGCCUUCGGGUUGUAAACCUCUUUCAGCAGGGACGAAGCGUAAGUGACGGUACCUGCAGAAGAAGCACCGGCUAACUAUGUG